ensembl:misc_RNA Metazoa_SRP Metazoan signal recognition particle RNA
GCUGGGUGUGGUAGUGCACGCCUGUAAUCCCAGCUACUCAGGAGGCUGAGGCAGGAGAAUUGCUUGAACCCAGGGGGCGGAGGUUGCAGUGAGCCGAGAUCGUACCACUGCACUCCAGCCUGGGGGACAGAGCAAGACUCUGUCUCGA